rnacentral:rRNA from 1 species
UACAGAGGUCCCGAGCGUUGUUCGGAUUCAUUGGGCGUAAAGGGUGUGUAGGAGGUCUUGUAAGUCGGGCGUGAAAUCUCACCGCUUAACGGUGAAACUGCGUUCGAUACUGCUUGGCUAGAGGAUCGGAGGGGGUAUCGGAAUUCAUGGUGUAGCAGUGAAAUGCGUAGAUAUCUGGAGGAACACCGGUGGCGAAGGCGACAUCCUGGACCGGUAUUGACGCUGAGGCGCGAAAGCCAGGGGAGCAAACGGG